AAAUCUCGGAGCACGGGCUUUGCCUCCACGUCCUAGCGAAGCCCCAGGAUAACGAAGCGAGUCUGAUGCGGCGCGUUGCCUUUGGAUUUGGCUUUAAAAUAAUCUAUCAAAUUGUGCAACGGUCAUAAGAAGAACUCCGUGGCACCGCUCCAGGACGGCCAAGACUGUGCAAAGCCACUUUCUGAAGACACUGCGCUGCUCUUUCUUGCUGCUGAUGAAAGAAAGAAAUUAAAUCAGGGACCAGGUUCCAACACACCCGGACCUUCGGCAUCAGCGCCGAAGGGGCAGUUGGUGGAAAUCACCAGAGUCGCCACUGUAAAA